AUGUCUGGGAAACUGCCUGAUGGAGGGGGAGUAACUACUGGAAACGGUAGCUAAUACCGCAUAACGUCGCAAGACCAAAGAGGGGACCUUCGGGCCUCUUGCCAUCAGAUGUGCCCAGAUGGGAUUAGCUAGUAGGUGGGGUAACGGCUCACCUAGGCGACGAUCCCUAGCUGGUCUGAGAGGAUGACCAGCCACACUGGAACUGAGACACGGUCCAGACUCCUACGGGAGGCAGCAUG
rnacentral:rRNA from 1 species